rnacentral:rRNA from 1 species
UACGUAGGGUGCAAGCGUUAAUCGGAAUUACUGGGCGUAAAGCGUGCGCAGGCGGUUAUGUAAGACAGGUGUGAAAUCCCACGGCUCAACCGUGGAACUGCUUGGCAUACUGGCGGUCUUGAGCAACCUAGGGGCGAGCGGAACAAAUGGUGGAGCGGUGAAAUGCGUAGAUAUCAUUUGGAACGCCAAUGGUGAAAACAGCUCGCUGGGGGUUUGCUGACGCUGAGACACGAAAGCCAGGGGAGCAGACGGG